UUAUUUGUGCUAGCGGAAAAACAACAGCACAGAUUGAAAUCAAACGAGAAAGAUAUGAUAAAUUUAUUCCUCAAAACUUACAUUUGGAACGUCAGAAAUCUAAGCAAAAAGCGGAAAAUAUGUGUAAGAGUUUCAAAGCUGAAUGUGAAAAUGAUGAAUGUAAAUAUUGCCAGUGUAUUGAAGAGGAUAGCAACACAUUUCUGCUGUUAACUCCUACCACAGGCAAUUGUACUAAAGACCAAGAUAUCAUACGUGAUUCAGUACCAAAUGAAAAUUUUUUUCUUCGAAAUCAAAAUUACGGUAAAUGUCUUACGGUAAAUGGAAAUCGGACUGAAAAAGUUUCUGGAACGAAUUGCAGCUCGUCUCUAAAUAUGCGUUGGAUAUGGUUAAAUGAAACGGGAAAAAUCCAACUUAUGAAUGUUAUGUCACUCCAGUGUCUUGAAUUUGUCAAGUCUUUGUCUACAUGUUCGCAAGAAGGAAGAUGGGUUAGCCAUUCAGUAGUUAUGAAGCAAUGUGAUAGAACCAAUCUGCAUCAGCAAAUAACACUGAAGACUGUGACAAAUUAUAUAUUUACCAAAAUGUGCAGCGGCCAAACGAAUUUUUACCUUCAAAUCGAUGAACGCAGUAAGAGAGCAAUAAGUAAGACACACACCGCGGGACAGACUUGGAAAAACACGGAUGAACAUCUGAACUGGAAAACAACUAUUUACAGAGGUUGUUACCGUUUUCAAAACCAAAAUUUCAUGCUUUAUCUGGACAAAGACAAUUGCUCUAAGCCAUGUACUCGAAAUUUUUCUGCCCCAAUCUUCUCUGAG